rnacentral:rRNA from 1 species
AUUGAACGCUGGCGGCAGGCCUAACACAUGCAAGUCGAACGAGUGGCGGACGGGUGAGUAAUGUCUGGGAAACCGCCCGAUGGAGGGGGAUAACUACCGGAAACGGUAGCUAAAACCGCAUAUCAUCGGAUGUGCUCAGGUGGGACUAGCUAGUAGGUGGGGUAACGGCUUACCUAGGCGACGAUCCCUAGCUGGUCUGAGAGGAUGACCAGCCACACUGGAACUGAGACACGGUCCAGACUCCUACGGGAGGCAGCAGUGGGGAAUCUUGCACAAUGGGCGCAAGCCUGAUGCAGCAAUGCCGCGUGUGUGAAGAAGGCCUUCGGGUUGUAAAGUUCUUUCAGCGGGGAGGCGUUACUCGCAGAAGAAGCACCGGCUAACUCCGUGCCAGCAGCCGCGGUAAUUC